UGGCGUAGUGCGCAACGUCUCGGCUUGCUAAGCCGAAGGUCCCGGGUUCGAUUCCCGU
rnacentral:tRNA from 1 species